rnacentral:lncRNA from 1 species
GCAAACUCCUUCCAACCAAAACAAACAGGCAUGCCAUAGUAAUUUAUCCACACCUCACCUAUAUUAUCUUUAUUUUCAUACAUAAACCUACGCUUGAGAAGUUCAUAUACCAUUUUCAUUUGGAAACGAGCAUUAUUUUCCUCCAGCAAAUCAAGAUAUUUCCCAAAGCAGCUGUCCUUGAAAUAAGCAUCCAAUUUUUAUUCUUGAAGUAUUUUUCUAAAGGUUUCAAAAGAUUUUUCCAUGGCUGACUUAACCACGAAAUCACCCGUUAAAUCUGCGACACCAUCGCACUGCAUUCUCACAGGACAAUGAUCAUUGCUGAAGGCUUUGACCAGCUCUUCGGUGGAAGGGCUAUUAGUAUCUGCAUCAUCUCUUUUGAAAUAUUCCUUCUCCCCGUGUUCAUCAUAUUCUGCUCAAGAUAACACUUGUAAAGCAAGCUCAUAGAGUAGUGGAUGUAGCCUAGCUGCUUCACUUGUUCCUUUACUUGGACUUGAUUCGAUUUCUGUUCUUUUGGGAACAAUAUUA